CCUACGGGAGGCAGCAGUGAGGAAUAUUGGUCAAUGGACGAGAGUCUGAACCAGCCAAGUAGCGUGAAGGAUGACUGCCCUAUGGGUUGUAAACUUCUUUUAUAAAGGAAUAAAACGAGGCACGUGUGCCUUUUUGCAUGUACUUUAUGAAUAAGGAUCGGCUAACUCCGUGCCAGCAGCCGCGGUAAUACGGAGGAUCCGAGCGUUAUCCGGAUUUAUUGGGUUUAAAGGGAGCGUAGAUGGGUUGUUAAGUCAGUUGUGAAAGUUUGCGGCUCAACCGUAAAAUUGCAAUUGAUACUGGCAGUCGUGAGUACAGUUGAGGUAGGCGGAAUUCGUGGUGUAGCGGUGAAAUGCUUAGAUAUCACGAAGAACCCCGAUUGCGAAGGCAGCUUACUAAACUGUGACUGACAUUGAUGCUCGAGAGUGUGGGUAUCAAACAGGAUUAGAUACCCGAGUAGUC
rnacentral:rRNA from 1 species